GAUAUAUCGAUGAUUUGACCCUAGGUGGCACCUUGAGCCUCAUCUUGUCGACAUAUCGAUGAUUUGACCCUAGGGUGUCACCUUGAGCCUCAUCUUGUCGAUAUAUCGAUGAUUUAACCCUAGGGUGUCACCUUGAGCCUCAUCUUGUCGGUAUAUCGAUUGUUUUGACCCUAGGUGUCACCUUGAGCCUCAUCUUGUCGACAUAUCGAUGAUUUGAUCCAACAAGCCAAUUUGAACAUUGUAAUGGCCUAAACAAUCCAACAAGCUAACAAUGCAUCAUAUAACAAUUACUAGUGAACAUUGUAAUGGCCAUAAUAACAAGCCAACUUGACAGAAAUAGAGAGGCUUAAGUACAUUGCAUCAUAUAGAUUCAUAGGUUCAUAGAUUACAGUACCAUAUCACAUCAUCAUGAAACCAGAUCCAACAACAUAGCAAAUACUAGUUCAGCCAGAUUACAGUACCACAAGUUGUUGCCAAAAUAGAUCUUAGCAAUUACUAGUUUAGCUAGAUCAUAUCAUCAUCAAGGUUCAACAUCAGUUCCCAGAAGCAUAGAAAUAGUCUUUCAGCCUGCUGGGUUGCUUUCUUUGUCUUGGUGGCAAGAAUGGUGCUGAUGUGGAUGCUGCAGCUAUUGAACCUCUCCUACUUGCUAUAGCUGAAGAAGCUCUCCUGGCAGGAGUUGAGCUGGCUGCCCUUGUUGCUGCACCUGUAGUUGAAGAAGCUGCCCUUGGUGCUAGAGCUGUUGAAGAAGCUGCCCUUGGUGUUGGAGCUGUUGAAGAAGUUGCCCUUGGUGCUCCCCUUGGUGCUGCACUUGUUGAUCCCCUUGGUGCUAUUGGUGCCCUGCUUCCUUGUGUGCUACCCUCCUCUGUGCUGUUAGACUGCAUAUAAGAAUUGUAGCAAGUUAAUACAUUCAAGUGUUAGAAAACAAAAUCUGGCUAAACCUGGUGCUUGUAGAAACCUGAUGCUUGUUCUUUCUCAAUGCUAACCCUAGUUUUAGAGGCUGUUUGCAUGAUGUGUAUCUGUGACCUACAAGCUGGCAGUUGCUGCAUGUAAUUGAAGCCAUGCUAGAUGUAUCUUUGGGUGCUGGUGGCUCAAACUGGCUCCUUCUCCUCUAGGUUUGCUUCUUCCCUGGCUUAUCCUUGAACACUGGAGGUUCUAUGUCUCCGCUAUUGGUCUUGGGCCACAGAUCUUGUCCUGGUACAGGGAAUAUGAUGGGGUUGUAUGCUGCCAGAUACAUUGGCUUUUUGAAAAAGUCAUGUACAAAGUCUUCAGGCCUCAGUUUGGCUUUGGUGAUAGCUGAUACUGCAUGAUUGCAUGGGACAGCAGUCAUGUCCCAUUUCCUGCACCCACAUGUCCUAUGUUGCAGGUUAACCGAAUAAGUUCUCUCAUUUCUUGUCACUUGGUAGAUAUUUGGCCCAGCCAUCAAUGCUUGACAGUUCCUAGAUUUUUUCUUUGCUUCUUCAAGCAACUUAGCAUAUGUUGGGCAUAUAUCCCACUUGGCUACCUCUGUCUUAGUCCUAUUGCCAUUGAACCUAACCAUCAACUUAGUCUUGAUUCCAUCUAUCAUGCUCUUUAUUGGUUUGCCCCUCACAUCUAAUAUCAUCUUGUUAAAUACCUCACUAAUAUUGUUGACAACUAGGUCAGUUUUGCAAUUGAAGGCCAUUGCAAAUCUAGCCCAAGUAGCUCUAGGAACUUUGUUAAGCCAAGCCCAAGCAGCCUUGCACUCAUUUUAAGAGCAUCCAUUGUAGCAAGAUGGUCAUGUUCAGUAUAAGAGUAACUAGCUUUAUCCAUGUACUUCUUUAAUUCUGACCCCCUAAAAUCAGCAGUCUGGAAGUUUUGAUAGAUGUGUCUAAGGCAGAAUCUAUGUGGGCAGUUGGGGAAUACAUUGUUUGCAGCUUUAAGAAGGCCCUGUUUGGAGAAAUCACCAUAAUCACAACUAAGCAAUGUAUAUGACCAACAACUAAUUAAGCAAUUAUGAACUAUGCAAUUGUGAACUAUGCAAUUAUAAACUAAGCAAUUGUGAACUAUGCAAUUAUGAACUAAGCAAUUAUGAAGCAAUGUAUAUUAUAAAAUACAACUAAACAUGGAAAUUACCUUCUGUCUAUCAGAGAUAUGGUGUAAUAACCAAAUCUCCCUGAUUCUCCACCAAUUGCUAUCUUCAGUUCAGAUAGAAACCAAGUCCAACUGUUUGCGUCUUCUUUGUGCACAACUGCAAAAGCAAUGGGAUAUAUGUUAUUAUUCCCAUCCCUUCCUGUGGCAGCCAGGAUUUGUUGGCCAGUAGACAGCUUGAUGAAGCAUCCAUCCACACCUGCAUUGGCACACAACACAAGUCAGAAACAAGGCAUUCAAACAAGGCAAAGUAAAGAAAGUAAAGUAAUCACCUAUGAAUGGUCUACAUCCAUUCAGAAAUCCUUCCUUGCAAGCAUUCAAAUAGAUGAACAGACCAUGGAACCUUGGAUUUUUGCUUGGAUGCUCCUUUAAGAACUUAGUAGUGACAAUGCACCUACUACCUGGAUUUGUGUCCAAGACAGCCUGCAAGUAAUCCCUGAUUCUGGUAUACUGACCCGUCUGAUCUCCUUGCACCAUCUCAACUGCUUUGUUCUUAGCCCUGUAGGCCAUAUGAGUGCUGAUCUCAACUCCAUACUUGCUCUUCAGGUUUUGCAUUAUUGUAGUUAUUGGUGUGUUCAAGUCUGUUCUUAUUGCUUCUAACACCUGAUGUGUGACCCACUUGGUAGUCACCUUGGUGCUCUCUGCUACAGCUAGACAUGUGUGCAAAAUUUUUGCUUUUCUAAUGCAAAAAGUUCUCUCAUUUGCCAACACAGAAGCUGCAAUGAAAAAAGGGCAAUCUUCAUGUUUGCAAAUAGCUAUGAUUCUAUCAUUGCAGUUCCUAUGAAACACAUAGUUUCUGUUUUGAGCUAUGUGGGAUGUGAGAAGUGCCCUUCUAAAUUGGUAAACACUUCCAAAACAAAGAUUUUUUACAAACUGCAUCUCUGGGCUCUCUCUAUCCUCAUCAUACAAGAUUCUUGGUUUGGGUUUUUUGGCCCUACUCUUAUUGCCAAGCACAAAAGCUAGGGGUACUGCCCCAUCAUCCUCCUCCUCCUUCAAAUCACCAGGAUUUGGAUCCUCAUCAGAUGAUGGCACCCAAACAUCGUCAAAUUGUUGCUCCAAACUUGCAUGUGAUCUACUAGUUGGCCCCUUUCUUACUUUCAUCUUCUUCCUCUUUUCCCCUUGUGGUACCACCCCUUCUUCAAUUUCCUCAUCCUCUCCAUGUUCCUCAGGCACUACCUCUUCUUCUAGCUCAUAAGGUUCUUCAACAUCAGUGUCACCUUCAAAGUGUAAAAAUGGGUCCUGUCUUUGCCUCCUCAUCUCAGCCAUCCUAGCCAUGAAAUCCUCAUCUUGCUCCAAGUCAGAGUCAUCUUCAGUUAGUAAAACAGGAAGUUUUCUUUUAUUUGCCUCCACCCUCUCAACACUCUUCUUAUGCUUCUUAUACCUCUGUAUUUUAUUCCUCCUCUUAAGCUCCAUACUUCUUUCCAACUCCUCUUGCUCCAAAUCAACAUCUCUUGCAUUUCCUUGAUCCAUAUCUAUAUCUUUCUGCAUAAUCAGAUGUGUGCUCUGCUCUCUGGAGUAAAACUGUAUUGGAUGUGCCUCCUGCUCAUCAACUUGUGCAACUCUCCUUGUUUUUUUGGAUGGUGACCUGUACACCACACCUUCAUCACUGACCUCAUACACAGUCCUCUCUCCAACACUAUCUAUAGGGACCUGUUGCUCACAAACAUGACCUAUGUUUAAGUCUCCAGGUCUGUGCUCACUACCCCUAACUACUGUCACAUUAACUAUGGUAUGAUCUCUGUUGGCAAUGUGGUCUAGCAUCUCAUCAACCUUGUCAUCAUCACAGAUCUCUUCCAAACCAGCUACCCCCAAGCCAGCAUCCCUAACAAAGUACAUGUAGUCAUCCUCUCCAUAGCCUGCUGCCUCUAUUAGUGCUAUUAGAUUCAGAAAUGUUAUGUCUGAAACACACCAUGGUCUCCCUUGCCUCGCACCAUCAGCGGCUCGCUUGGGUGGAGAAGGAAAGAAAGGGAGGGCUCGAGGAGCAAGAGCUUGCGACAAUGGCGGUUCCAACAGGGGAGGGAGAAGCAGUGGCGGGAUCUGCGAGAGGAACAGAGGAAGUGGGGAAAUGUCUCUCCCCCCUCUUUAUGUCCCACCGGGAAACCCAAGCAACGGCUUCGGUAGGUCGACAUAUGCCCCAUUUCCUUCGCGGUUUCCCACUACACAGGAUGUGGGCGCGGAGAUCCAGGCAUUAUCAUCAUGUUGCAGCGGUCAAAGCGAAACCGACUGGCCAUCUCCCUAUCUUUUGACAGUGAUGACGGGAUGUGACAAGGCGAGUGGCAGCGACGCCUAGGUUCCUAUGGCUAGCAUGAAAUGAUUUGAAGAAGACUUGCCACCAGAGGCCGUUCAACCAUGAAGCUGCGAAGAUGCGACGCCGGAGGCCAUGCAGACGUGAAGCCGCAACAUUGCAAAGACGCAGGCCGCGAAGCCAUGAAGGUGAAAGAUGCAAAGCCGCUAGAUCGCGGCACCACAAAAUCAGGAGCUACGAAGCCACAAAGAUGCGUUGCUGGGGGGCGCGCGAUAGCCAAGUACAUAGAUUUUGAGGUUGGGCUACCGAGAGCUAGACUGUCUCCAUCACUGAAAAAGAGCCUGCCUGGAUUUCGUUCUCAAGGCAGCAAGACUCCACAACUCCAGACAAGCUCGGCCACUACUGAUGGUACAAUAUACCGAGGGUGGCUCGUCCACCGGGAAGCUCGAGACUUGGCUGGCUUCAGGGCCCAAGAGGCCUAGCGGCAUCCUUACCCAGCGAUCGGUCCAGGGGUCUAGGCUUGGAGAUAAAAUUUAUCCUUGGCGUGCAAGCCAAGAAGCUCUUACAGUAAAGUCAGUUAGGAUCCCUAUCAACCCUAGCUCUCAUCCCCUUUAUAAGGCGAGGCUAGGGGUAGUUCGAGGCAUCUGUUCCAUUGCUCAGACCUUGGUAGCAUUCAUCAUCCUCCACUUGUAACCCCCUCGCACGAGGUCCUCCCACAUCAAUCCAAAACAAAGCAAGAGUAGGGUAUUACCUCGAUCAUGAGGCCCCGAACCUGGGUAAAACUUCCGUGCGAACUCCCUUUACUUCCGACUACGGUCUGCACCCUAACUUGGUCACUGACGGUUUUCUGCACCAUCACUGGUACUCUGGUAGUGAGUUGGAAUCUGUUUAAAUCGUUUGGUUUGCAAUAUCUCUCUCUAGGUUCGGUCCAUUAUAUGUACCCUUGAUCCCCGUGUUGGUUUUCUGCGCCUGUCGGUUGCACGAUAUAUUUAGGAGGUUUGGUCUCAUGGGCAAACCUUUGCUCUUUAACCGAGUCAGGUUAGUGCCUUUUCGGUGGUUUGUUCGAUUCAUUUGUGUUGGCCUCCAUGCAUUGGUUGCAGGACUGAAUUUGGUAUGUGGAGAUCAUGUCGAAGGGGGUUUGAGGAAGGUCUGAUUUGAGUUCAUGAGUUCCAUCAUUCAUCAUUUAAUAGGAGGUGGAUUCAGUGUCCUGAUUGAUUCUUAUUGUAGCAGUUGAUCUUGCUUUUGGUAUGUGUGUAUGUUCUCCUUUAGUUGCAGUAGAAGCAGGAGGGUAGUAGUUCUGCAGAGAUGAAUCAAAGGCUGGAGAGGUUUGGUUUCUGUUCACGGCUGAUUUGAUUCGUUACGGUCAACUGUUAUUUUCAUUUGGUCAGAUCUUCUCGAAUGUGGUGUUGAAGUACUCAUCAACCUAGAACUUCGUGAUUAUUUGGAUGAUAUAAUCCCUUCUCGAUUCAGCUUAUUCAUUUGCACAGUACUCCCUCUGUAAACUAAUAUAAGAGCGUUUAGAAUACUAAAUUAGUGAUCUAAAUGCUCUUAUAUUGUUUACAGAGGGAGUACAAUUUAGUCACUGAUUAUUCUUACCUGGAUUAUUGGUGGUUCUCCAGAAAUUAGGAUUAUAUUAUUUGCUGCAUGGCCAUCAUCUUUUUGGUUCAGUUUUGGUGUGGACCAGUUGGUUAUUGGGUGAACAAAUUUCACAAGGAGUAACAUUUUUCACUCAACCUUGAUAUGAGAAGUGUUAGUUUCAUACCACUGUCCUAUUUGGUUUAGAUAAUUUAGUUCCUCUAUUUGGUGCCAGUUGCCUUUAGUAAAAAAAAUUGUGUUCAAAGCUAGCAAAUAUUAUGCAACUUAACUAAAUAAAUCAGUUGAUUAAUCUCUUUUCAACCUUAACAUAGAAGAUUGUGAUAUUUGUUUGAUUAAACCUGUGAAGAAAAUUCAGGUUCGUACAAAUUUUUGUGUAGAUACUCUUUGCUGCUUGACCAUGAUCUUUUUUGUUUGGUUUUGGUGUACACUAGUUGGUUAUUGUGGGGACAAAUUUUAUAAGUAACAUUUUACACUCAAACUUGAUUCAGAUAGUUCGGUACCUCUACUUGGUGCAAUUGGACACCAGUACCUUUUUGUGUGUGUUCAAAGCUAGUUAAAACUAUGGAACUUAAAUAUACAAAUCAGUUGAUUAAUCUCUUUCAAACCUUACAUGAGAAAAUUGUGAUUUCUGUUUGGUUUAGCCUGUGAACAAAAUUCAGGUUCCUACAAUUUUAAAUUAGUCUAGUUUCUGCAUGUGAGCUGUAUUGUUAUCAGGUUUUGUACAUGACUUGUAUUAUUUGGUCUUGUUAUUUUUUAUGUUGGAAAAGUCUGAUAUUUAAAUUGUUGAUCUGCUUCCUACAGAUCUCUUUGUCACGAAAUGUACUGGUGGUCUUUAAUCUAUUUUGCACAAUGCACAUAUGUUGGUGUCCAUUGUGCUUACUACAUGAACAUGAUAUUUGGAGUCUUACUUUAGUGGAGUGCUAAUCUGAUCAUGCUUGGAAAAGGGAUAUCAUGAUAGGUUUUGUUAGCCUGGGGCUUGUCUGAAACUGUUGUAGUCCUGUAAAUACAAAAGUAAAAAGUGUUGAAUGGGAACAGUAGUAGGUGUCAUUGUCAUCUGGAUUUAUCAGUCUGUAGUGUACACCUGGUAAAAGAUGGUCUGAACUCUGAAGCUAGUAGAAACUACUGGUUCCACAUUUCUUUUCUUGAUUCAGAUAAUUCACUUCGUUCAUUUCGUAACAUUUUGCCGCUAGUACAAAACCUGGUAAAAGAUGACCGAGAAGGCUGUCAGGUGUUGCAGAGAGAACCCAACUGAAAGCAUGAUCAUGCCGGUUGGUACUACUUUCGACUUUUUGGGCGAAGCAUACGACUUGUGUGUACAUGUAGGUGAAUAUCAUCCGGAAAGCAUGGUAAAGCAGGCGUGUCGUCCUUGUGUAUGAUGUUAUGUUGUACUUCAGCGAGUCAGCAGAUAACUGCUUCUGUAUUGACACCUUGUGCAAGAAUGAGAAUCGGGCAACACCAGAGUCUGCUUGACAUGAAAGUCAUAAGUUAGCGCAGAUAAAGUGCGUCAAAUGAAAUCAACAGGAAUGAUAAGCUUAGUUGGGAGCUUCAAACUAGAGAGUGACGGGCUUACUAAGAAUUCAGGUUCGAUGGGGUGCCUCCAGCUUAAAUAAGGGUUUUUGGUUUCUGCUUCAUAAUCAAGUUGAGCAAAACGGCGGAAAAACCAAGGGCAUCAGUUCAUGACCAAUUAUUCUGUUGCCGACAAGCUGGUCCCUAAUUGUAUAGCCUGUAAUCCGAACGAGUCUUGGCUCCUCGUGAACAAUGAAGUUGCUGCAUUGUUGGGGACAUCUUUGUUAGUGCGGCCAAAAUAAACAAGCUGAGGGUGAGGGGUGGACUAUUGGGUUAGACUAGUGUAGUGAUGCGCAUGAAUACCAGGCUGGCUCACUGUCUGGUGCAUAUAUCAACUGCUCAAGGAGUUCAGCAACACUAGCUUAUUUCCUUCAAAGAGGACUGUGAUCUCAAACUUUUUAUUUAAGUCUUCAGUAUCUGCCUAUUUUAGUUAUUCCCUUCAUUUUUUGUCUUACCAUAGUAUCUUAGGCUCUAGUUGUUCAUUUCUAUUUAUUCAGUCAUCCAUUUCUGUUAGUGUUCAGUUUUUAUGUUCAUUGCUCUAUCUGCAAUUUACAUGAGCUAACUCUCUCAGUCAUCACUCUUUAUUCAUUAUUCCAUGUUGAGUCCCUCGAUUUUUCCUUUUUAUUUUUUGGCAGUCUAUGCUGCAUGCUUGUCAGUGAGCCUGUCAACAGGAAAGUGAGAGUGUAGAAGUUGAGCGGUAAUCUCUUCAUUCGGAUGUUUUCCUUGGCAAUCGUUUGACGCAGAGCGUUCUUGUCUGGAUUUUAUGGACGUUGCAAACUAACAUGCAUGAUUCGAAAAGGGACAACUUAACGGUUGACAUUCAGUAAACUUUCUGUUGAAUUGUUAGUGAACUUUUGAUACAGAGCGUAGAUAUCAGGUUUUUUUUUUCUAUUUUAGAUUUCUUUUGUUUAAUUCAUUGUUCUUUUAAUUCAUUGCCAUUUCUUCAGUCUAUAUUCAGUUUAUGUGUUUUCAGUCUAUUAUUCACUUUAUCAUUUCAGUUUUUAGUCUUCAUUUUAUUUUCUUCAUCAUUCAGAACCCAUGGAUCGAAUGAGGUUUCAGUGGCGUCGAAUCGCACCAUGAUCAGAUACAUGCCGUGAAAUCAUAUUUUGCGUGGGGGCGCCGACAAGCCUGCCGACAGCAAUGUCACUUCCAGAGUUCCAGUGGCUGUAGCAGCCAAGAAGGAACUGCCUAUUGCCGGCGGGGCUCAAGCGGUGUCACUUUCAGUGGCUAUAGCAGCCAAAAAAACCAAAACCCCUCUAUAUUCUGAUGGUAAAUCUGUAAGCAUAUCACUAAUGAAAGAGCUUAUCACCAUGACGUGUACGUGUGCGUUUUAAAAAUGUGAGGCUAAGGUCAACCAUCAACCCAAAAUGUUUCUCUGUCACUAACCACCUGAAAUUUAUGUACAACUUUUCAGUUUUUAUUGAUUGAUUGAUGGCUUUGUUCUUGACAAUCCUUUACGAAUCUACUCUGCUUUUGUGGAUAGGCGAAAAAGAUUGUUUUUUAGUAUUUUUUCUUCAGUAGAUUAUUGAACGAGGUUUCAGAGCAGAUUGAGAGAAAAAGAGAAAUGUUAGUUCAUGCUUCAGUACAUUAUUUUUCUUUAUUACUCUUUUCAAUAUUUCUUGCUUCAGUACAUUAUUUUUCUCUUACUACAUUUCUUUGUUCUUUUCAUUCCGAAAAGGCUACCUUAGUAGCACAACUACGCUUUUUUCCUUUUCAGCUCUCAAACUGCACCCUAGUUUUGUUGUUAGUUCUCUGUUUUUGAUGGAUCUGAUAUGGUUAGCCCUAUCUAGUUUUUUUGUAUGUGCUACGCCUAGUUAUAACUACUUCCAUCUUUUAACAGCUGUCCUAGUUUUGUUGCUCACCGGCUGACACCUUCUUUUUCUUUCUCUUUUUAUCAGAUGUAUGAAUUGCAUGUGGCAUCACAUAAAUUACCAUUCGAGAUAAGUUCCAGUCUGCAGAUCUCGGGGGACAGUAUGGCUGGAAUACGCUUGGUAACAGGGAGAAUUACCACUACUGUGUAGUAAGACCGAAUCUAAUUUAAGGGAGUGAAUUGCAAAAAACCACCACAUUGAAGCCUAGGGUUGCAGAAAAGACUCUUCUACGUUUUUGUGCCAGAAAACUCUGAUUUCGCGCCUAAUCAUUUGCAGAAAACACCAAACCUUCUGUUGGGGCAUUUUAAGCACUAUUAUGACAGGUGGGGCCCGAUUUUGGGGACGUGGCGUCACGGCCGCGAGCUCACGCCGUCUAACGGCGUGGCGGCCGUUACUGCUCCGGCGUGUGGGUAAAAACAGACCGCCGACUGCCGUUCUGCUGCUCCCCGGUGCCAUGGUGUCGUGGAGCGACGAGACCAGUGAGGAUUCAGUCCUGAACAUCUCCUCCUCCUGCGAUGGCAUCAUCAAGCUUCCAGCUACGAUGCACGAUCCGAAUUUCAAUGGUACUGACGCAGAUGUGAAUGUGUUGUGUGAACACGGUGAGCCGGCCGAACGCUUUGUAGCAUUUGAAGGGAUGCACACGGGCAGGAGGUUUCUUGGAUGUGCUAAGGAAGGCAUAAACUGUGGAGUAGUUCAAUGGAUUGAUUUUGAAUGGCCAGACUCAAUGGAGAAGGCAUUGGCCAAGCUAUGGGAUAUGUAUGAGGAGACUAAGUCAGCUAGGACCAAUGACAAUCUAGAGAGUUCCUUUGCAAUUCACAACCUGACAGAAGAGAAGAAGAAACUACAGGAGAACUAUGACAGUUUGUAUGCUGAUGUGAAUGCUCUUUUGAAUGCCCAGCAGGAGAGGGGUGUGGAGUUAACCAAUCAAAAGGAGCAGAAGCAAUAUCUUGAAGUGAGGAUUGCUGAGCUUGAAACUGUAGUUGGCAACUUGACGGCAUAGUUGUCAAAGAAAGAGGAGGAGAAGAAGAAACUAUAGGAGAACUAUGACAGUUUGUAUGCUGAUGUGAAUUCUCUCUUGGCUGCCCAGCAACAGAGGGGUGUGGAGUUAAACAAUCAGAAGAAGCAGAAGGAAUAUGUUGAUGUGAAGAUUGUUGAGCUUGAGACUGUAGUGGGGAACUUGAAGGCAGAGCUGUCAAAGACAGAGGAGAAGAAGAAGAAGAUGUUGCUAAACUAUGAAACUCUGAAGAACCUGACAUGUGCUCAAGCCAAUGUGAUUGGGAACUUGAAGUUCAAUCAUUUGAAGGAGAAGGAGAGGCUCACAGAAGAGAGGCUUAAACUGCAGUAUCACAUUUCUGAGCUUCAAAAGUCUGAGGAAAAGAUAAAGUUGAAGCUUCAGGGUGUGAAGGCCAUCUUAGAUGAGUAGGGUGCCUUCUAGUAUGAUAAUCAUCUAUCAGUUUCUAGAUGAUAAUCUUCUAUCCAGUACUUUAGUAUGAACUUGUGACACAAGUACUUCAGUGAUGAAUUUGUGAUCUAUGGUGUUGGAUCCAGCAGUGUUGUAAUCUAGAUGAUAAUCAUCUAUUAAGUACUUUAGUAUCUAUUUUU